UUUCCAUGUAACUAUCCUUUUAGCUUGUUAGUGAGCUAUAAUAUCUGUCUGUCUACACAUCUUUCUGCAGGAUAAUAAAUGUUUAGAAUCUUCUCUGCAGCAAUGACAUUUCUGAAGGGGCUAAGGAUGUUUUACUACAAUUCUUUGAACUUGAACCUUGUGUGACAAGGAAGACACAGCAAGUAAAAGCCUUCAUGUGUCCCACAGCUGCCUCCCUAUCAGAGUCAAGAUCCGAUUUCAUUCCUGAAAGGUCCUAUUGUGUUCAGAAGUCACUGCUGGUUGAACAGUAACCUUCAGGACAAGAUGUUGUAGCCAAAACUGGCCUUUAUAGCUUAUCCCUGGAUAGAUAGCACAUGCAGUGCACUUGCGACAUAUGAAUUCUGCAGCAGUUUUGGCUACAUUGCCUACUAGCGCUUCUGCUGCUGGAAUCCUGGAGUCACAAUGUGAAAAUGUGGAUGAUUUGUGUCCAGCAGAAUUUUUGAAAAUGAACAUGGGAGUGGGUAAAAAGCAUGGUUUGGAUACCAUGUGCAGUAAGAAGGGCUCUCAUCAUUUCUACCAAAACACCCUGUCAAGCCUCUGCUCUGCCUAUACUCAUAGAAACCAAUAUCAUGACAACGGAUGUGCAAGUGAAGGACUUCUAUAUGAAUUUUAUACAGAGGCACAAGAUCUUUUUAUAGGGGAAGCAUAUGGAGCAGAGUUUAGACUUAAAAGCCCACUGAUUCUACUUGGAAGCAAAAAUGGACAGCGAAGGUUCUUAGUUAAAAACACAAUUCUCAAAACAAGACAACUACCAGAAUUUAUUCAUUCUGGAGGAUUAAAAACAUCAUAUGCACAGAAGAAAUUAUGCCAGUGA
rnacentral:lncRNA from 1 species